GACUCGAAAGCGGAGUGGUCCGCGUCUGCUUGAUGUGAGAAGAGUCGAGGGUUUGAAUACAGAUAUUGUCGGUUCGACUCCGGCUCGAGUCU